rnacentral:rRNA from 1 species
AGUGAACGCUGGCGGUAGGCCUAACACAUGCAAGUCGAACGGCAGCACAGUAAGAGCUUGCUCUUACGGGUGGCGAGUGGCGGACGGGUGAGGAAUACAUCGGAAUCUACUUUUUCGUGGGGGUCAAGGAAGGGAAGUUUAGGUCCUAACGGAUCCGCCCCUUGGGUGAAAGGGAGGGAACUUUGGGCCUUGCGGGAUUGGAUGGCGCCAUGUCGGAUUAGCUAGUUGGCGGGGUAAAGGCCCACCAUCGCGACGAUCCGUAGCUGGGCUGGGGGGAGGAUCAGCCACACUGGAACUGAGACACGGUCCAGACUCCUACGGGAGGCAGCAGUGGGGAAUGUUGGACAAUGGGCGCAAGCCUGAUCCAGCCAUACCGCGUGGGUGAAGAAGGCCUUCGGGUUGUAAAGCCCUUUUGUUGGGAAAGAAAAGCAGCAGGUGAAUACCCCGCUGUUCUGACGGUACCCAAAGAAGAAGCACCGGCUAACUUCGUG